AUACUCUUUGGUAACAAGGAUCGAUUGCAGCGACAAAACGGCACAUGCAAGAACUAAAGUGUCAAGUGCCCUGGGGCCUAAUUGUCUAACGCAAACGAUUGAAUUUGACAGUUGAAAUCGUACGUUUUUACUUGUCAAACGGCUAUUUCGGAUUGUGUAAGCCAAUGGAAAGCCAUCGGUUGGGCAUAGUUAGUUCAUUACGAUUAGAUCGUUAUUUUUAUACGAAGAGUGAAUGAUUUGAUAUGAUUUGACAGUUAUUUGCGAUUGUCUUCGAAUUGUGUAAAGUUUUAUGUUCAUGGCUUAUGUCAAAAACUUACGAUGGGUCUUGAGUCACCUUUGAUCGUAAAACGGACAAAUUGUGGAUGUCCAAAAUUCCAAAAUAAUUAUUUAUAUUUUAUUAAAUAUCUAAAAUUAAUAUUUUUUUCCAUUCUAAAUCUCUCAAUUCAGUCUCCCCGACCACAGUUAGCAUUUUUAGGACGAAACUUGGCGAAGUGUUUAGUGCUUUGUUUGUAAACAAUGAACUCUCUUAGAAAGAGUAAUAAAUAAUAUAUUCUUUGCAGUGAACCUAUAAAGUCAAAACAAUGAAGUUAAUUCAGUGCUAUUAAUCGAUUUAUAUAGGAUGCUGAGACUUGGACUCUGAGAGAAAGUGAGAAAAAGAAGAUACACACUCUAGAAAUGUGUUGUAGAAGAACGCUUGCAUAUCCUGGACACAGUUUCGAAACAACAUCUCACUCCUCCAAGAACUGGGGAUCAAACAGCAUCUUUCUUCCAGCAUCUAAUGUCUUACACACACUUCUUUGGACGUACUAGACAAAGAGACGAUAAGUCCAUAUCCUUAGAGAGACAUAAACUCACUACCUACGAUAUUUAAUACCUUAUCAUGUUGUAGAUUUCUGCGACAUCUUGCAUGUUGUUGUAUCCAAUGUGUUUGGAUUUGUGUUCCUGGGCUUAUGUGUGUGGUUUAGUUAAGUUUACUUAAGUUUGCUGGCUAUUAAGCAAAAAGGAAUCGAAUUUCAUUUUUAAAAGUAUGAUUAUGCCAAACGAACUCUUUCGUCAUCGCUCAUAGGAGAUUUGGAAUAUGCCCUAUAACUGCAGACUCCAAUAUUGCAAAUAGCACCUGCAAUACAGUGGAAUAACAUAUUGGUGUGCUGAAGAAAAGAUGGCAAAGGCUUUUAGCUGAUAGGAUAUUGUAAUGAUGACCCUGUUCUGUUCAAAUCAUAAAUGUGUGUGUAUUAUCAAAAUAUUUGCAUAGAUUGUGAAAUGCUGAUGAUAUUUAAUUUGGUUGGAUUUUGAUAUUUGAAAAUAAAAGAAUACUUACUUUGC